UCCCCGGUCCCCGUCCCUGCCGCCUCAGCCCUGCGCUUUCCGCCUCGUCCAGCCAGCUCUGCGCUGGCCUCUGCGCCAGCCCCGCGGCGCACGGUUGUGAUGGCGCGGCGCACGGUGUGUCCUCAGGGCGCUGAGCCCUCCGUCGGGCCCGCUCCGCCGCCUCAGCCGCUCCGCCGUCAGCCGCCGGCUCCCGGCCUGUCAGCGCCUAACCGCCGCUUCCCUCAUCUUUCAGUCAGUCUUACAAGAACCUGCCUCUCACUUAAAACUUUAUCCUGAAUGUCUCCCGAUGGCGCGUCAAGCACGUCGACGUAGCGGGGACGUCAUUUGUGUGUGCGGUUUGUGGAAGCUUACAUCACUAAAUAUGUCACUGGAUGGUGUCCACCCGCUGAGCCAUCCUCUGCUCAGCCAGGCUGGAUGUAAGUCAUUCUCUUCUGCCAUUAUUUCCUACUGAGGAGCUUCCAGUUUCUAACAGAAUUUUUUUGCUAUUAGUUCAUGUGACAUGACCUAAAUCCACGUACCAUUUAAUUUCAUUCCAGUCUUAACUACUCUAGUCAUCAGGAUACUUUUAAUCGAUAAUGUCUCCUAAUUUCAUGUCACAUCAAAAAACCUCAUCACAAUUUUAAAAUUUCUCUCCUAAAGCCAUUCAUUCUGUGAUGGGAUGUACACUAGCAUUUAGCACUGAUAAUUUUUUCUUCUUUACCAUAGCCACUGUUUCAUAGUUUGAAAUGAUAUGACACCAUCCUUACUUUAUCAAUAUGUUAAAAAUUCUGUCCGCUGGACCUGCAGCUCAGCGCAGUGCCUCCAGAACUCAGUGGGGAGGCUGACCCGUCAACCUGUCCGAAUAAAGCCUCUGGCAUUUUGCUGCCACCUUUCACGGACCAACACGCUGCGAAGGAUCUUACACGUUUAAAAUGUAAGCCCGUUCAUGCGGGCAGGCUGCCUCAAGGCACUAAUUUCCAGUCUUAGAAAUUAUAUGCAAAACUAUGAACUAGCCUUAAUUAUACAAUUAUGAUGUAUGUGUAAUACACAACAUCCAGGAGGAAAUAAUUGUUUCAGGACACAUUUGUAUAUUCUUUAGACUUCCACAUUUGUUGCUAUAGUGCCCAUCACAGUCCAAUAUUCCUUUUCUUGUAUCUGUUUUUCCUCCUUUUUUUCUAUUUGCUUUUGUUUCUGUGGAAAAUUUUCAGUUUGUUGUUUUGGGUUUUGCUUGGUGGGCAAUUGUCCAUCUCUGAUACUUCAAAUGCAUGAAAUCUAAUUAUCUUUCAAGUUUGAUGGAAGACUAUGAAAACCAGAAUAAGAGGGAAAUUUAUCUCUUCAGCAUUUAUUUCACUGCAAAUUCUUGAGAUAACUGCACUGGUGAAAAGGGCUCCCGAGUAACCUUCUGUAGCACAGAGGGGCAGGAUUUUCUGAGAACUGUGUUAUAUGUGGUAUGAGUCAUACCAGAGCUCGGGGCAACACGAUACUCCAGAUACCCUCAGCUGAGGAGACUGCAAAACCCAUUUCUGUUUGAAUAUCCCAGAAUAGCACUAUGAACCAUACAUUAGAUGACAUGCAAUGACUAUUUACAGCAGCCCAAAGAAUAGCCUGUGACAGAUAACAGCUAGGACUUAUUUUAAGCCCAUGUUCAUUUUGGUGUUUGGCCGGCAUUAAUGAAGUGCAAGACAUGCCGCUGUAAACAGAGGCUGAAGAUGCGGGGCGUACACUGAGAGAGGCCGUAGUGGCAGGUUCACAGUAUGUAAACAAUUCCACUGAAAUCACACAUCUAUUUUGCAUACUGAUAAUACAAAAAGGGGAAUUCUUAAUCUGCCGGGCCAGGAUUUCUCUGUGAAGCUCCUGGAGGAGUAAGUCUGGGAAAGUCCAGAGGCUGCAGACUGAGAUCAGCACUAAGGCACAGACCAGGUGAACCACCGAAUGAAAGCACAAUGGGGACAAUUUGAAGAAGACAAAAUCACCCACAGCAUACAAACUAACAGAGGUGCAUCAGUCUUUUUCCCAUUUUUUUAUAGCCAUGUUUUUUGAGGAUUAGAUAUUCGUAGCCUGUCGCUACAGAAGAUCUGUUUGCCGCUCAGAGCAGUGAAAUGGUAUCAAGUAUAUCAGCAGCAAAGUAUUCCUCCUUUAAACAGCCAGGAGGUUUAGGCCAUCUUAUCAUUACAUUUUGAAUACAUUCUUUGACUCAUGUUUUCUUAUAUACAGCAGUAGCUGAUUAAAUAUAUUACUGAACUCUGAAAGUCUUGAGCAUAUGAUGUGAUUAUGAAACUUCAAUGCUUUUGCUGUUUUGUUUACAUUAUCUUCAAAAGCCUGAGAAUUUCUUAGACAUUUUGUUCUUAGAAUAGUUGCCAUCUAUUUUAAAAGAGACAAGCUGCAUCUUCAACAGCCUUUUUUAAUGAUUCUUCUUC